rnacentral:rRNA from 1 species
GAUAGCUUGAAGAAAUUCGAAUUAAUAUUCCAUAGUAUAAAAAAAUUGCAUAAAUUUUUUAUUAAAACUACGGUGGCAAAAAAUAAGCGUGCGUCUGAUUAGUUAGUUGGUAAGGUAAUGGCUUACCAAGACGAAGAUCAGUAGGGGGCCUGAGAGGGUGCUCCCCCAACUGGUACUGAGACACGGACCAGACUUCUACGGGAGGCAGCAGUGAGGAAUAUUGGUCAAUGGAGGCAACUCUGAACCAGCUACGCCGCGUGCAGGAUGAAAGCCAUAUAGGUUGUAAACUGCUUUUGUAUGGGAAUAAAAGAUUCUACGUGUAGAAAAAAUGAAUGUACCAUACGAAUAAGUGUCGGCAAACUCCGUGCCAGCAGCCGCGGUAAUACGGAGGACACAAGCGUUAUCCGGAUUCACUGGGUUUAAAGGGUGCGUAGGCGGUUUAUUAAGUCAGUGGUGAAAGAUUUAAGCUUAACUGAAAGACUGCUAAUGAUACUGAUAAACUAGAAUUAUAUUGGAGCAAUUGGAAUGUAUGGUGUAACGGUGAAAUGCAUAGAUAUCNUACAGAACACCGAUCGCUAAGGCAAAUUGUUAAAUAUAGAUUGACGCUGAUGCACRAAAGCGUGGGGAGCAAACAGGAUUAGAUACCCUGGUAGUCCACGCUGUAAACGUUGAUCACUAGUUAUUGGAGAACUCCUUCAGUAGCUAAGCGAAAGUAAUAAGUGAUCCACCUGGGUAGUACGAUCGCAAGAUUGAAACUCAAAGGAAUUGACGGGGGCCCACACAAGCGGUGGAGCAUGUGGUUUAAUUCGAUGAUACGCGAGGAACCUUACCAAGGCUUAAAUGUACAACGAAUAAGGUGGAAACAUCUUAGUUUCAAACUAAGUUUAAACGGAGUACAAGGUGCUGCAAUGGUUGUCGUCAGCUCGUGCCGUGAGGUGUAUGGUUAAGUCCAGCAACGAGCGUAACCCCUAUUGUUAGUUGCCAUCGAGUAAUGUCGGGAACUCUAACAAAACAGCUGACGUAAGUGGAGAGGAAGGAAGGGAUGACGUCAAAUCAUCACGGUCCUUAUGCCUUGGGCCACACACGUGCUACAAUGGCCGGUACAAAGGGUUGCCACUAGGUGACUAGGCGCUAAUCUCAAAAACCAGUCUAAGUUCGGAUUGGAGUCUGCAACUCGACUCUAUGAAGCUGGAAUCGCUAGUAAUCGCGUAUCAGCCAUGACGCGGUGAAUAUGUACCAGGGCCUUGUACACACCGCCCGUCAAGCCAUGGAAGUUAGGAGUAUCUGAAGGCAGGGACAAGUAGCUGCCUAGGAUAAAACUAAUAACUGGGGUGAAGUCG